rnacentral:lncRNA from 1 species
AGCGUUUUUACCAGAAGCUAGCCACAACUGAUUCAAAUAUUGGCCAGUAAUAUUCAUCUCCCAGAGAAGAAAUCUGAGUCGCAUACAUGUUUAGUAACUUGCUCUCUUGGACAGAGCAUGAUUGGCUGGUACACUAUUGCAAAUAUAUGACUCAGAUAUGAUGAUCACAAACACACUGUAUUCCCUUGUAGUCUUAGUGUCUACACUAGAGUACUGAUCUCUCACUGACCCUGCUUUCACCUCUCAAAUCUGCAGGCUCUGUUAGACAAGUUCUGUGGUGGAGGAUCAUUUUCACCAUCUAUGCAUUCUGACUCAACUAGGCAAGUGUUAAACAAGAUGGUGUACGGAAUGCAGUGUCCAACCCAGACAAGUGUUUGGGAAACUGCUUCUCCUCCUGACACCUAGAGCCUGCUCAUGGGACAGGACAGCAACAGGCACCCAGGAUAGAGAAUCCCUUCAGACAGCAAUUCAUCAAGAGACCCAUUGAGUUCAUUCUCAGAUGCCUUGCAACAUCUUGAAACACGUACCCAGAUUAUUCCUGACAUAGGGAUGUGCACACUCAGCAUUCGUGACGCUGAUUGAGCAGUCUGGGUUGUUUGAGAAUUUCCAUGGGAUCUUCCAGUCAUCAACUCAAAUGAAUGCAAUGCAGUCCCACUACUAGAAGCUAUGCCUGCCUACCAGAAAUGGCCAGGUGUUCCUAAUAACAUCCCUGAAAAUGACACUCCAGGAUCCUUGCAGCAUGCUGAGAAAUGAGCUCCCUUUGCUUGUCCAACGGACAUUUGUUUUUUGUGGCGUUCUUGUGGAUGACACAGAUAGAUUACAGUUUCCAAGUUGGACAACUCACAACUACCCCAAAAGAUGUGUCUACAGAAGAGCAAGAAGUAGGGCUGAGCCACUAGGAACAGCACCACCCGUGCACACAUCAUUACAUACAAUGCACAAAUUUCUUCAGAGCCUCUGGAAAGGAGUUGGCAUGUCUUUGAAUCUGACUGAGAGGGGAGCAUGGAUUUCGGAGUGGUGUUUCUGUUGCUCGAAGAGGAACAUCCAGAGUUUUUAAUGCUACCAUCUCAGAAACAACUGUAAAGAAGCUUUCUUCAGAACACCCAACAGAUGAUGCAAGCCUGGACACAGGAUACUAUACUUC